CCUACGGGAGGCAGCAGUAGGGAAUCUUCCACAAUGGGCGCAAGCCUGAUGGAGCAACGCCGCGUGUGUGAUGAAGGCUUUCGGGUCGUAAAGCACUGUUGUAUGGGAAGAACAGCUAGAAUAGGAAAUGAUUUUAGUUUGACGGUACCAUACCAGAAAGGGACGGCUAACUACGUGCCAGCAGCCGCGGUAAU
rnacentral:rRNA from 1 species